AAGGAGGAAGAGCAUUUGAUGGGAGGGGCAUCUAUUAGCAGUAGUCCAGUUAUGUCCUUCAGGACGCAACACUCAUUGCCAGCUCAAGGGGAAGAACCAUGAUUGAGAUUAGCCAAUCUGGAUGUGCCGUUUCCUCUUGCCAGUGGUUUAGGCAUGUGACUCCUCCAUCGUGACCAAGAAGAACAAGCCAGUGGAUAGCCAAUGUGCUGAAGAUGGCAGAGCUGAAAGAUGGAAGGAAUGUAGGUCCUUGAUCCAAUGGGAAGCACUGAUAAGAGACUGGAAAAAAGAAGCCAAGGUAUUACUCCCUCUCUCUCUGCUUUUUGCUAUGCUUCAUUUCUUCCAUGGUUUCAGCUUCUGGGAGACCGCCCUUAUCCUCUAGGGUCCCAGUUCCUGCUGGAAAGUCCCUGCCUUUUCUCAGUGGCUUCUGUGUUUGCCUCCCUGUCACAUUUGGUCUUUCAGCACUCCUGACAUGUUUGUAAUUAAUUUUCCAUAUUA
rnacentral:lncRNA from 1 species